AGUGAACGCUGGCGGCAGGCCUAAUACAUGCAAGUCGAACGGCAGCACGGCAGAGCUUGCUCUGUGGGUGGCGAGUGGCGGACGGGUGAGGAAUACAUGGGAAUCUGCCCAGUCGUGGGGGAUAACGUAGGGAAACUUACGCUAAUACCGCAUGCGCCCUUCGGGGGAAAGCCGGGGACCUUCGGGCCUGGCGCGAUUGGAUGAGCCCAUGUCGGAUUAGCUAGUUGGCGGGGUAAUGGCCCACCAAGGCGACGAUCCGUAGCUGGUCUGAGAGGAUGAUCAGCCACACUGGAACUGAGACACGGUCCAGACUCCUACGGGAGGCAGCAGUAGGGAAUAUUGGACAAUGGGCGCAAGCCUGAUCCAGCCAUGCCGCGUGAGUGAAGAAGGCCCUCGGGUUGUAAAGCUCUUUUGUCCGGAAAGAAAGCGCCGGGUUAAUACCCUGGUGUCCUGACGGUACCGGAAGAUAAGCACCGGCUAACUUCGUGCCAGCAGCCG
rnacentral:rRNA from 1 species